rnacentral:rRNA from 1 species
GUCCUUUAGUAUUUAAUUUAAGGUCUAACCUGCCCACUGAAUUUUAAAUGGCCGCAGUAAUUUGACUGUGCAAAGGUAGCAUAAUCAUUAGUUUUUUAAUUAAAAGCUUGUAUGAAAGGUUGGACGAAGUAAAGUCUGUCUCUAUUUAAUUUAAUUUAGAAUUUAACUUUUAAGUUAAAAGGCUUAAAUUUAACUAAAAGACGAGAAGACCCUAUAGAUCUUUAUAAUUUWWUUAUUAAAAUUAAUUAAGAAUUAUUAGAAUUUUAUUAAUAUAAUUAUUUUAUUGGGGUAAUAUAAAGAUUAAAAKAAUUCUUUUUUWYUAUUAACAUUAAWUUAUGAAUUUUAUGAUCCAAUUUUAUUGAUUAUAAGAUUAAGUUACCUUAGGGAUAACAGCGUAAUUUUUUUAAAGAGUUCAUAUCGAUAAAAAAGUUUGCGACCUCGAUGUUGGAUUAAAGAUUAUUUUAGGUGUAGAAGCUUAGAAAUUUUGGUCUGUUCGACCAUUAAAUCUUUACAUGAUCUGAGUUCAGACCGGUGUAAGCCAGGUCGGUUUCUAUCUUUAGUAAAUUAAAAUAUUUUAGUACGAAAGGACCAAAUAUUUAAUAUAUAAUAUUAUAAAUUUUUGAUUAUCAUUAAA